CUCGAACUCAGAGAGAUCCGCCUGCCUGC
rnacentral:piRNA from 1 species